rnacentral:rRNA from 1 species
CAGAAGUGGAGAAGGGUUUCUCGAGAACGGCACUCGCUCGAGAGUUAGUCGAUCCUAAGCUGCCGGCGGCAGCCACGAAACGGUCGAUCGGGCGCGAGCCCGGCAGCCACGACCGGGCAGCGAAAGGGAAUUGGGAACCUCCUUCCCCAAAACCCGGAACCGGAACGAGGGCGGCGACGCGAACGAAACGGCCGCGGAGACGGCGGCCGCGGCCCCGGAGAGAGUUCUCUUUUCUGUGCGACUGGACGUCGGCCCCGGAAUCGCGUCGAGCGGAGGGGGGUCGGAGUUCAGGAAUAGCACCCCGGCCUUUCGGGGUGUCCGGGCGGCCGCGGUCGUCCCAUGAAAAUCCGCGGAUGAACGAGUAGGCGACGGUCCGGGUCGUACCAAUGACCGCAUCGGGUCUCCAAGGUUGAAA